rnacentral:rRNA from 1 species
GACGAACGCUGGCGGCGUGCUUAACACAUGCAAGUCGAACGGAAAGGCCCUGCUUUUGUGGGGUGCUCGAGUGGCAAACGGGUGUGUAACAUGUGAGUAACCUGCUUUUGACUUUGGGAUAACUUCAGGAAACUGGGGCUAAUACCGGAUAGGAGCUCCUGCUGCAUGGUGGGGGAUGGAAAGUUUCGGCGGUUGGGGAUGGACUCGCGGCUUAUCUGCUUGUUGGUGUGGUAGUGGCUUACCAAGGCUUUGACGGGUAGCCGGCCUGAGAGGGGAGCCUGCCACAUUGGACUGGGAAUGAGACCCAGACUCCUACGGGAGGCAGCGGUGGGGAAUAUUGCACUAGGGGCGGAAGCCAGAUGCGGCAACGCCGCGUGGGGGAUGUCGGCCUUCGGGUUGUAAACCGCUUUCGCCUGGGACGAGGCGUGAGUGACGGUAAUGGGAAAAGAAGCACCGGCUAACUACGUG